UACGUAGGGUGCGAGCGUUGUCCGGAAUUAUUGGGCGUAAAGAGCUUGUAGGCGGUUUGUCGCGUCUGCCGUGAAAAUCCGGGGCUCAACCCCGGACUUGCGGUGGGUACGGGCAGACUAGAGUGUGGUAGGGGAGACUGGAAUUCCUGGUGUAGCGGUGAAAUGCGCAGAUAUCAGGAGGAACACCGAUGGCGAAGGCAGGUCUCUGGGCCACUACUGACGCUCAUGCACGAAAGCGUGGGGAGCAAACAGG
rnacentral:rRNA from 1 species